rnacentral:rRNA from 1 species
GACGAACGCUGGCGGCGUGCUUAACACAUGCAAGUCGAACGGAAAGGCCCUGCUUGCAGGGUACUCGAGUGGCGAACGGGUGAGUAACACGUGGGUGAUCUGCCCUGCACUUCGGGAUAAGCCUGGGAAACUGGGUCUAAUACCGGAUAGGAGCCAUUUUUAGUGUGAUGGUUGGAAAGUUUUUUCGGUGUAGGAUGAGCUCGCGGCCUAUCAGCUUGUUGGUGGGGUAAUGGCCUACCAAGGCGGCGACGGGUAGCCGGCCUGAGAGGGUGGACGGCCACAUUGGGACUGAGAUACGGCCCAGACUCCUACGGGAGGCAGCAGUGGGGAAUAUUGCACAAUGGGCGCAAGCCUGAUGCAGCGACGCCGCGGGGGGGAUGACGGCCCUCGGGUUGUAAACUCCUUUCGCUAGGGACGAAGCUUUUUGUGACGGUACCUAGAGAAGAAGCACCGGCUAACUACGUG